rnacentral:rRNA from 1 species
CAAAAACAUCGCCUCUUGAGGAAAGAACAUGAGAGGUUGUACCUGCCCUAUGGCUUCAUAAGGUGAAGUUAAAUGGUUGCAGCUAAAUGCUGUACUAAGGUAGCGUAAUAAGUUGCCUCUUAAUUGGGGGCUAGAAUGAAGGGUUUGACGUAAAAAAGUUUGUCUCCAAAAUAAAAGUAUGAAGUUUUCUUUUCAGUGAAAAGUCUGAUAUAAUGGUAAAAGACGAGAAGACCCUGUCGAGCUUGAUAAAACAUACAAAAAAUAGUGUAUUAAUAAGUUUAGCUGGGGCAGUUCGGAACAAAAAAAAGUUUCGUUUAUAUAAUAGAGAUCCGACUCAUGUCGAAUGAAGAAAAAGCUACCGCAGGGAUAACAGCGCUAUUCCUCUUGAGAGGACUAAUUGAAGGGGGAGAUUGCGACCUCGAUGUUGGAUUAAGGUUACUUUCUGGUGCAGCCGUUAGAGUAGUAAGACUGUUCGUCUUUUAAUACCUUA